rnacentral:lncRNA from 1 species
GCCCUUUGCAGCACCCUCCAUCCCCAGCCGCAGCUUUACACCCUGGAAAACUCAAUCAUUUAAACAUCCCGCCAUUUCGAUCCUAAAGCAGAGGGAUCAGAAUGUGUUGAAAUAGGGUUUCAUGCUCCUGAAGGUUCCCCCACGUGCCUCCAUUUGUGGCUGGGGAGGGAGUGCUGUUGGGGAGUGGGGCGCAUUCCAGAGCGGCCUGUGGAUUGAGACUUCCAAGUUUCAGAAUGCUCAGGGAACUUUGGCCCAAAUACCCACACUCAGUGUGGACGUCUAGGUGGAGUUCCAGAAGUCCCUCAACCUGGGUGCUGAGGUAACUCCUUACAGGCACAGGCAUCUCGGGUUCCUCUUCUUAUUGGUUGGUUUAAACACCAGAGCCCCCUGGACAGAGGAGUAAGAUGAUAGGACCCAACUGGCCGAGAGAAAGUAGGAGAUGGAUGAGAGAAGGGGAGGAGGUGGGAAAGCUGUCAGUGAGUCCAUCCAUCUCUCCUGAUAGGCUGCUGAGUGGUGGCAGAUGCUCUGUGGCAUCCCUGGGUGAGCCUGGGUGCCUCCCAGAGGGUCCUGGCACCCUUGAAGGGAGAUCCAGUUGGUGUGGAGGAGAGGCGGGUGGUUUUCUUUGGACCUACAGCACUUGGUGGAGCCGCGGUCGCACGGGUGGAGUGAGGACCGGGAGUCUUAAGUUGCCCUCCCGGGGUGAAUACAGAUCUCUCUCCUAUCUUAGCUACCAUGCCUUCAAGGCCUCCUUUAGAGAUUAAUUCCGUUGGCUUUUGCUAGGCCCCUGCCCUUUCUUGCUUUUAAAAUGUUAAUGCCUCGUUGCAGACUUUUUGCAUUGUCAUUAACUCCCUAGCUGGGAAACUCGUUUAUUUUAUCCUUGACUCCAGCGACAGAGCUAGACAAAGAACUUUGGGUUCUGAAGAGGAGCUGGCACGCAAAGUGGGGAAAUGAAGGCAAAAAAGGGAGGUGGUGGGAGGAAUGGGGCAAGUGUUGACAGAACUUUUCAACUGUCUCCUCAUUGUUUCUGGCGGCAGGGUCUGCCUGUCACAGGUGCUUGUUA